UUUUUUUUUUUUUUUUUUUUUAUCUUGGCCAAGAGCAUGAAGUACAUCAGGCUAUUUAUUGCAGCAAGAGAAGGAAGCCAAGAUCCAUUCAUGUACCACACUCACAUCUGUGCUCCUCCUGGAGGCCCACACCCCAUAAAGUAUCUGCUGUCUUUGCAGACUCAUUUGGACUGGAUCAGUAUUUCACUCUACUGCUGCUAAUAUGGGUUCCCUAGCACUGCCCACCACAUCAAUACACACAUACUACCUGCUCCACGAGGCAUAUUUCAAAGACACUUUUCUGGAAAGAAUGAAAACAAAUUUUCAAUGCAGUGAUAGUCAGAUACAGACAAAACUAUAGAUACUCACAGCCUUUCCCCCUCCCCCUAGGCAUCAAAGGAGAAUUUAUUUGCUGUCAGGGAUCAGAUCGCAGGCCUCAGUUUGUACAGGAAAGGGUAAUAGACAAGUGGUGGAUUGGAUUAUUCUCAGGGUAUGUACACAGAAUUUUAACUUAUACAAAGCUACUUAAAGAUAAAAACACUAAAAAAAUCUCAAAAUUGGGGAUGGGGUUAAGAGAGUAGAGAAGAAAGGAAAUGCAGAGGGGCUGGAGUUUGAAGGGGAAGACUGGGAUGGAGAUUAGAACAGUGGAAAUAUUGUGUGAGGCACUGAAAGAGAUGAGUAGAGGCAUUUUAAUAUGCACCCUGUGACAGUUACACUCCUUGGCCACCUCUUCAAAAGCCCUGACUGAACACACACUACUUUGAAGACUUUCUGUGUUAGACGUUUAUUUCCUCUGAAUGUAUGUAAAGUUAUUUGAGGAUGGACCUUAAUAUGGAAACAAAAACCUAGUUCUAUUCUGCUUAUACAUUUUUAACAACAACAAAAUACUAAAGUGCAUUUAAUGAAAAAUGAAGUAUUGUCUAAGCCCUUUUCUCUCCCCUAUAGAUCCAGGAAUGAAUUUCUUGCUUUGCUUCUCUAUAAUGAAAAAAAUUAUUUCAUAUAUUUCAUAAUAAAAAAUAUUAUGCUCAUAUUUUUCCUUCCUGUCUGUGACUAAUGGAAUCUUCCAUUACCACAUCAUCUUAAUAACAAUGAUCAAGCUGAUUAUAAGCCAGUUAAUUAUUAAUCAGAACAUGACCAUGCUUCCAAUUAUGAUAGCUGAAGUGUCACUCCGUUUUCAGUUCUGUGGUAUGCAGUCUUUCUAUUUCCUUUGUAAAUCUAGAUUUUUAAAAUAAAGACUUUUCUCAGAAAUUUACCACUGUGCAUUCAUGUACAUGCACUUAAGACUGUAUAUAUUUCUUAACCCAAAAUGUUCACAUUUAUUUUAUUUUUUGUCAAAAGUACUAUACUGUGAUUUUUCUGAAAUUAUAGUCUAGUAUGAGAUUUGUUUGUAUUGUUGUUUUACUGAAGUUAAUAAAAUAAAAGUCCUUAUUUCCCAAACCAGAGGUUAAUUAUAGGCCCAUACACAGCCAUAUUUACUGAUGUAACAUUUAAAUCAAUCUCAUAUUCCUCAAACUUUCACCAUUCUAGUAGAAUAUGUGCUAAUGUUAAAUUUCACUAUUUUAAUGGAAAUUAAAAACACUAAAUGGACAAUAUAUACAAAACAUAUCUUGCUAUGAACUUGCACUUGAAUUACUCAUGUGAGCUUAGGGUCAUAAUUUAUAAACCACUGAUUUCUACAGUUAGAUUAAUUUAUGAACAAUUAUUAUACUCACAAGUUGCAUUCAUAUAAAUGGUAAUGAUCUUACUGGAAUUAUAUGGAAACAUGAACCAUCACUUAUGUACAAAAGAAAGCUUGGGGAUAUGUAGAAUCCCUUAAUGAGAAAUAAAAUAAGCACUCUGGAACUGGUACAUAUGGCAUUAUUAUUAAUGAGAGGAGAUAAAACAGUAUAGAGAUGUUAAUAGAAAUAUUAAUAGAGAGACUGGAAACUCAGAAUACAUACUGUAAAUAGGAUGUUACAGGAAAGUCAAUAAUACUAGACAGUAAGAAGCUUAUAAUGCUUUUAAUGAGAAUGUGGAAAGUGUGUGUGAAUUCCACAUAAUUCUGAACGGGCGGAAAAGCGGCUGUAGAAAUUUUUAGAGUAGAAAAUCUGAUCAUUCAUACCCAUAAAUGACUAAACAAAAUUAUUUAUCAUAUCCUGUGGAUAUUUAGCUCUGUGAAUUAACCUGAAAUAAGUCAUAGUAUUCAUUUUAAAUUUGUUUUCAUUCUGGUAAUGGACACUAAGGAAGCAACCUCUUACCAGGGGCAUCAUAGAACAUAACAGAGAAACAAUGAAGUAAAUUUCUCUACUAAACAGUAUUUCAGGCCUUCUGUAAAAUAACAGUCUACACUAGAUCUAUGAUAAUUACAUACAAGAAAAUCUAUGAAAAAUUCAUUAAUAGGGACUAUUAUCCUAAUAGAAUCCUACCAGUUUUUCUAGUAUUAUGUAUUCAAACUGUUAAAUGGCUACAUUUCUCAUAUAAUUAAAAUGACCAUCAUUAAGUGUCAUGUCUCUGAAAUAAAGAGAAAGAAACAAAGGGAGGAAAGGAGGAAGGAAGGAAAGGAGGGAGGGAUGAAGGAAGGGAGGAACAAAAGAAGAGAGAGGUGGGGACAAAUGGAGGGGCCAUUUCUCUAAAAUGCUACCUUAAAUGAUAGCAGUUCUAGUCCCGUAUUUCUUCAUUUUAAGGAUCUAUGGACUUGUAUAAGCAACAUCUGUCAUACCCAUGUUUGUUUUGUUUGAGUGUGUCUGUGUGUGUGUGUGUCUGGCAAACUGUACAAACUGCACAUAUCUGAUUUGCAUAAAGUUAUUUGCUAAUUAAACACUGCAUUAUAAAUGUACUUGUAAAGAAAAGUACUUGGAAGAGGGCAGAUAUUUUCCCCAACCCAAUCUAAUGGUAUAGUUCACUUUUAUAGAGAAAACCUAAAUAAGGAUGAAAGUGAAAAGAUUCAGUACCCAGAAAAUAGGAGGUAGCUGUGGUGAUGGGGAUGGGGAGGGAGGUAAGUUUAUUUAAGUGGAGUUAAAAGUCAUGAAAGACUAUUUUUAAAAAGUCACUGAGAGUGUUUCCUUUGUGGCUCAGGGGGUUAGGACCCGACUAGUAUCUAUGAGGACUCAGGUUCGAUCCCUGGCCUCACUCAGUGAGUUAAGGAUUAGGUGUUGCCAUGAACUGUGUUAUAGGUCACAGAUAGGAUCCCGCACUGCUGUGGCUGUGGCAUAGGCUGGCAGCUGCAGCUCCAAUUAGACCCUAUCCUGGGAACUUCUAUAUGCUACAGGUGCAGC
rnacentral:lncRNA from 1 species